CACGGGAGCGGUGGGGUUGGAGCUGCUUUGGCCAUUUGUGGACGCAAAAAAUGUUUUUCCUCUUCUGGCCUGGUGUCUGAUGGAGGUCUGGGCCGUGGUGUUGGAGCGAGUUUGGCGUUGGAUAUAUAUAUUUUUUUAAUUUUCGUUUUUUACGGGGGGGGCGUGCUGGAAAUUUAGAUUUUUCUGUAUUUUUCUCUGGUGUGUUUUUCAGUUGUGGUUUCUAGGAAGGGCCAGGGGGGUGGAUCGGUGGGAUUAGUGAACGGUUAGAAGAGGUUGUGUUGGUUAAGGUGGCGCCUCUAUUCUACUUUUUUUCCUCCCCCGUUGGAUUGGAAAGGUUGGAUUUGCGAAUCUGAUGCCUCAAGACGUGGAAAUGCCACCGGUCUUUUCGGCUUCCCUGUCUUCUUCCAGGCUCGGCCCUCCAUAACGGUUGGAAAUAGGAACUGGUAGAAACUGGACAUUUACUGGUAGAAACUGGACGUGUCGAAUUUCCUUCCAAUUGAGUAAGUGCUUUCAUUUCACAGAUGCUCCCGAGUAUGUUGCUGAACUCCGAGGAGCUUCCGGAGGGGAGGAUUUUUCCACCGGAGAAGUUUGUUGGUCCAGAUCUGCCCAGCGCAGACCCAGGCCAUUUGACCGGGAACCGGACGACUCGGAGACGACUCGGAGACGUCUGCUGAGGCCCAGCCCACCCAGUGGGACCCCUGACAUUAGCCCAUGGGCCCGUUUGGUAGCCCGCAUUCGAAUCCAGCCCCGCAGGGUCCGGGCACAAGGCAGGGCAGCAGAGGUAACAAAAAGCCACCGAGACCUCUGGCCAGCGGCUGUCAAUCCAGAGGCCGCACGCAGACUUACUCGCUCCGAACAAGUUCCUUUUCUGCCCGACCGUAGUCUUUCCUUUUUCAUUUCUUCCACGCCGAACCGGGUCGGAGAACGGGCGUCGAAUCCUCCCCCUGCCCUCCCCAUCCCCAAACACUGACACACACACACACACACACACACCCCUUCGUUAGUUGGCUAAUGAGUUGGAUCCCGAUCUCACCAUUAUUCAAAGCUGGAAGCAUGCGGUUAGUGUUCCAACUUGCCGCUGGCUUGCCCCAGACAGACCCGGCCACUGCUGAGUGAAAAUGACGACUUUAAGUGGAAUGGUUAAUAAUACCAUCAUUAUUAUCAUUCCCCGGACUUCAGUUUCCUCAUCUGUCACGUGGGGAUUAAGAGUUUGAGCCCCCACGUGGGACAGGGGCUGCGUCCAACCUGAUUGACUUGUAUCCACCCCAGUGCUUAGAACAGUGCUUGGCACAUAAUAAUGUUGGUAUUUGUUAAGCGCUUACUAUGUGCAGAGCACUGUUCUAAGCGCUGGAGGAGAUACAGGGUGAUCAGGUUGUCCCACAUGGGGCUCACAGUUUUUAAAUCCCCAUUUUACAGAUGAGGGAACUGAGGCCCAGAGAAGUUAAGUGACUCGCCCACAGUCACAGAGCUGACAAGGGGCAGAGCCGGGAUUCGAACCCUUGACCUCCGACUCCAAAGCCCAGGCUCUUUCCACUGAGCCACGCUGCACAUAGUAAGUGCUUAACGAG
rnacentral:lncRNA from 1 species